rnacentral:rRNA from 1 species
AUUGAACGCUGGCGGCAGGCCUAACACAUGCAAGUCGAACGAGUGGCGGACGGGUGAGUAAUGUCUGUGAAACUGCCUGAUGGAGGGGGAUAACUACUGGAAACGGUAGCUAAUACCGUCUCCAUUAAGAUUUGCCCAGAUGGGUUUAGCUUGUUGUUGGGGUAAAGGCUCACCAAGGCGACGAUCCCUACCUGGUCUGAGAGGAUGACCAGCCACACUGGAACUGAGACACGGUCCAGACUCCUACGGGAGGCAGCAGUGGGGAAUAUUGCACAAUGGGCGCAAGCCGGAUGCAGCCAUGCCGCGUGUAUGAAGAAGGCCUUCGGGUUGUAAAGUACUUUCAGCGGGGAGGCGUUACCCGCAGAAGAAGCACCGGCUAACUCCGUGCCAGCAGCCGCGGUAAUAC